AAAUUUUUCAGAAAGAGCAGGCAGAUCCAGACCUUCCUGUGAACAUGCAAAGAGCAACUGAGAUUGAUGUUCUGUAAGCAAGAAAAAAAAAAACUUCUCAAGGGAAAAAGAAAAAGUUUGACCAAGAUGACCAGGAGUCCUGGAAAAGGCAGAGAGAAGAAGAGGACCUGGUGAAAACUAGGAGAAUAUUGAUUACCCGUGGAUGCAGCACUGGGACGAGACUCAGAAGAUUUAGAACAAAUCCCCAGAUCAGAGCAUCUUACCUGGUGACUUUGAGUGAAUCACCAUGCCUCAAUUCAGAAACACAUCCAAACAUGUGAAUAAUUCCAUGUUCAUGCAACCAAAUGUUUGGUGGCCAGAUGCUUGCACAAUGGGCUCCACCAAUUAAUGGAGUAUUGUAGCCUAGGCUGAC
ensembl:lncRNA